rnacentral:sRNA from 1 species
UCCUAAACCCGGUAGUAACGAAAAUCCUUUUUAUUGCUUAAAAAGUAUUUAAUUAUAACGUUUAUCUGCAAUAAAAAGAUUGGAGUGCAUAACGGGACUACAG